GACGAACGCUGGCGGCGCGCUUAACACAUGCAAGUCGAACGGGUUCAUUCCUUCGGGGAUGGAUCAGUGGCGAACGGGUGCGUAACACGUGAGCAACCUGCCCCUGCAUGGGGGAUAACCCUGGGAAACCGGGGCUAAUACCGCAUGCGCUCUUCGGGCUGAGUGGUCUGGAGAGGAAAGCUCCUGCAAGGGGGCGUGCAGGGAGGGGCUCGCGGCGUAUCAGCUAGUUGGCGGGGUAACGGCCCACCAAGGCGACGACGCGUAGCCGGUCUGAGAGGACGACCGGCCACAUUGGGACUGAGAUACGGCCCAGACUCCUACGGGAGGCAGCAGUGGGGAAUCUUGCGCAAUGGGCGAAAGCCUGACGCAGCGACGCCGCGUGGGGGAGGAAGCUUUUCGGAGUGUAAACCCCUGUCAGGAGGGAAGAACGGGCGGGAGAGGAAAUGCUCUCGUUUUGACGGUACCUCCAGAGGAAGCACCGGCUAACUCUGUGCCAGCAGCCGCCGUAAUAC
rnacentral:rRNA from 1 species